rnacentral:lncRNA from 1 species
AUAUCGAUUUCCGGUAACACUUCGCAUUCCAAAACCGCUACUUCCGUAACACCUUCGAAUGAACGAGACAAAGCGUCAGCCACUACAUUUUCGCUUCCUUUCCUAUGCUCGAUUUCGAACGAGUAACCUUGUAAUUUUAGUGCCCAUCUGGCUAAUCUACCGCUGAGAUCUGACUGGUUCAUAAGCCAACGGAGGCUUGCAUGAUCCGUAACAACUUUGAAGGGAUGACCAUCGAUGUACAUGUGGAAUUUUUUUAUGGCCAGUACUACCGCCAAGCAUUCGAGUUCCGUUACCGUGUAGUUUCGCUGAGCCUUGUUCAGCUUCUUGGACAUGUCGGACUAACGGACGCUCGCAACCUGAGUCAUCACAUUGAGCUAAAACUGCACCUACCCCAUGAAGAGAUGCAUCGCAUUGAACUACAAAAGGCUUGUCGUAAUUGGGAUGAAUUAAAAAUGGAGCUGAGCAUAAUUUACUCUUGACAUCAUCAAACGCUGCUUGUGCCUUUUCAUUCCAUUCAUACGGCCUUCCACGGAGUAGUUCGGUGAGAGAAAAGAUAACAGAAGAGUAGUUGGGAAUAAAACGUUGA